CGGCCCCCUGGAGGAGGCGGCCCCAGGGGCGGGGAGCGCGAGGAGGAGCGCCCGCCGCCUGUUCCCCGCCGCAUGGACGAGCACCUCAGCCUCCUGCCCUCGCCGCCGCAGCCCUCCGCCCGCCACCGCACCCACCCGCCCCAGGACCCCGCGAGCAGCGGCUGCGGCGCCCACACGCUGGUGAACCCCGGCUACGCCGAGCCCGCCGCAGACCCGGAGCUGCCUCCCGACAUGACCGUGGUGCCCGGGGACCACCUGCUGGAGCCCGAGGUGGCCGACGGCGGAGGGGACCCGCCUCAGGGUGGCGGCGGCGGCGGCGGCUGUGACCGCUACGAGCCGCUGCCGGCCGCUGGCGAGCAGGAAUGCUGCGGGGAACGCGUGGUCAUCAACAUCUCGGGGCUGCGCUUCGAGACGCAGCUCAAGACCCUCUGCCAGUUCCCCGAGACGCUGCUGGGCGACCCCAAGCGGCGCAUGAGGUACUUCGACCCGCUCCGCAACGAGUACUUCUUCGACCGCAACCGACCCAGCUUCGACGCCAUCCUCUACUACUAUCAGUCCGGAGGUCGCAUCCGCCGGCCGGUCAACGUGCCCAUCGACAUCUUCUCCGAGGAGAUCCGCUUCUACCAGCUGGGCGAGGAGGCCAUGGAGAAGUUCCGCGAGGACGAGGGCUUCCUGCGGGAGGAAGAGCGGCCCCUGCCCCGCCGCGACUUCCAGCGCCAGGUGUGGCUGCUCUUCGAGUACCCCGAGAGCUCCGGGCCGGCCCGGGGCAUCGCCAUCGUGUCCGUGCUCGUCAUCCUCAUCUCCAUCGUCAUCUUCUGCCUGGAGACACUGCCCGAGUUCCGCGACGAGAAGGACUAUCCUGCCGCGCCGUCGCAGGACGGGUUGGAGGCGGCCGGCAACGGCACGUCGGGGAGCCCCGCGGGAGCCUCCAGCUUCUCUGACCCCUUCUUCGUGGUGGAGACCCUGUGCAUCAUCUGGUUCUCCUUCGAGCUGCUCGUGCGCUUCUUCGCUUGUCCCAGCAAAGCCACCUUCUCAAGAAAUAUCAUGAACCUGAUCGACAUCGUGGCCAUCAUUCCCUAUUUCAUCACCCUGGGCACCGAGCUGGCCGAGCGACAGGGCAACGGACAGCAGGCCAUGUCCCUAGCUAUCCUGAGGGUCAUCCGCCUGGUGAGGGUCUUCCGCAUCUUCAAGCUGUCCCGCCACUCCAAGGGGCUGCAGAUCCUGGGGCAGACGCUGAAGGCUUCCAUGCGUGAGCUGGGGCUGCUCAUCUUCUUCCUCUUUAUUGGAGUCAUCCUCUUCUCCAGCGCCGUCUACUUUGCUGAGGCUGACGACCCCACUUCGGGCUUUAGCAGUAUCCCAGAUGCCUUCUGGUGGGCAGUGGUGACCAUGACGACAGUCGGGUAUGGUGACAUGCAUCCUGUGACCAUAGGGGGAAAGAUUGUGGGCUCUCUCUGUGCCAUCGCCGGUGUCUUGACCAUUGCGCUGCCAGUCCCCGUGAUUGUUUCCAACUUCAAUUACUUCUACCACCGGGAGACAGAAGGGGAAGAGCAAGCCCAGUACAUGCAUGUGGGAAGUUGCCAGCACCUCUCUUCCUCAGCCGAGGAGCUCCGGAAAGCAAGGAGCAACUCGACCCUGACUCCAAGUCCUUCCCACCUCUCAGCUGUGAAUAGAAGUAAUUACCCCUCCCACUGAUACAUGCAAAGAAGCACACAGGACCCCCAGUUGAAGACUUAUGGAAACACUGUGAGAUAGAGAUCCCUGAGGAGCCCCACAUCAAGAACUGUAGAGCUUCAGUGAUCAGUAGGGUGCUGAGUUUUCAACUGUCUGGAUCAAGAUCACAGUAGCAGUUGUACCACUGACAGGUGGUGAUCUGUCUGCCAGGUCAUAUUUUUAUUUCAGUUGACAUUAAAUAGUAUGUCUCUAACAAAUACUUCCUGCAAAGGAAACAGUUUUGAAACUGGAGGAUUCCCUUUGUACUGUGUACAGUAUAAAGGAUAUGAAUCAAAGAUAAAGAAGAAUGUUAAGAAGAUUAAGGUGUUGUUUCAAUCUUUAACAUUUUGAUGGAAUUUUAUCAUCCAAAAACUAUAAUCAGUGCUGCAAACAAGGGAAACCUAAAUGUGUCUCACAAUCACAACUAUUGAUUUUUUUUUCAGUUACUGGACUGUAUUUAAGCAUGAGAUACAUUCUGUGUUUGGGGUUGUGUGCAGCUUUGUGAAGGUUGUGUGUUGUACCAAAGGCUCUCAUGCAGCAGUUAGCCUAUUUACAAAUAACUAAGGGAAGUCUACACUGUGCCCAGAUGAAUGGUAUUGAGGACAGACAUGCCUAAAAGAAAUGUGCCUUGCUUGAUUAAACAUUCCUUUAUUUUUAACUCAAAAUGAUAGAUAAUCUUAUAGGCAGAUGCUAGCUGAGUUCAUGUUACAGAAAUGCAUUAGUAUGCUUAUGUUGUCUAUUUUAACUAAAUUUUAACAUCUGUACUUUCCAAAAGAUCAUAUUUAACCAUUCAAUUUUAUUUUCGUUGGAUGUUGGUUGUGGCAAGACCAAGCACGUUCUUAGAGAUAUAUGUAAUAGUUCAUUUAAUGUUUAUAACUUUUCCUGUACAAUUACUUACAUAAAUUUUCCUUGACUUGUUUUCUAUUAGUAUAUUCUUUUAGAAAUGGUACUCUUUUUUCAAUUAAAGUUUUAUUUGGAAAAGAUAUUUAGUAGGUCAUGAAGAUGAUGUCUCACUUGAGGACAUUUCACUUUUGUGCCAUUAUUAAUGUACUUACUGUGAUAUUUCAGCAGAAUGGUAGCUAUUUGUAUAUUAUUUCAUACGCCUUAUGAGAAGUCAGACUGUGAACAUUUAGUAUAUGGAAAACUUCUCAUUUCAAAGUACACUUUACAAAGUACAAAUACACAAAUAAUCAAUAUCCUAUUAUUUAAAUAUAUAGUAAUAACAUGUUGUAACAGGACUUGCAGAAUUUUAAUCACUAUAAAAUAUCUCAGUAGCAAAGCCAACACUUUGUGAACUUUUUGAAGCCCAAUAGAAAGAAUAUAUAUAGGUGAUAAAUCUAAUUGGUAAUAUAUAAGAAUCAGUAACUAAAACAAUUUUAUAACUAGCAGCAAAACAAACGGAUGGGACAAUCUGGGUUACUUUCUUUGAGGCAAUCUCCACAAUAAAGUGUUCACAGUCUUCUAGAGAUUUCUUGAUGUUCAAAGCUUUGAUCUGCAUCAUAAUUGGCAAAGGUGAAAUGAAAGGAUGGCAACUAUCUCAGGUUGGAGCUAUAUGAAAACGUCUAAUCCAGAUGAUUUAUGAUUCGAACAAGAAUAGCCACCAGCUUGUUUUUGUUGUUAGACCACUUAGUAGAGACAUUGGCCCUGAGAACCGACUUAACCCUCAUGCUAAUAGACAAAGCCUAGCCAGCAGUAAGCAAUCCCCAUCAGCUACUAGACGAUUGGAAUACACCCACCAACUGUGUAUAAGACAUCUCAGACAUUCAGGUGUGUCUGGUUUUUUUUUUAAGGAUCAAUAGGUUUUAUAAAAAUUGAACCAAAAACUGCCUUCAUAAAGCACCAGUGGCACAACAUUGAACGGUCUAAUGUACUUGUAUGUCAUAUCUACAUUAUUAUAGGUUAGUUUGAAAUAAAGCCAAACCUGGACUUUGGUGAUGAAAGCACAGAAUGGUUUGGAUGACUCACCUGUCAUACCACAUAUGGUUCACAGGUUGGGUGGUGAUAACAGUAUUGGUCUAGUUAACAGGAGAUCAUGGUUCUUACCUACUUUCUAACUGGGGGACCUUGAUAUUUCAGUUACCAUUUCUAGUGUUCAUUUUCUUGGAUUGCAUAAUGGGUUCAAUCAUUCAAUAAAUUCCUGAGCCCUUUUCCAGUCCCCAGAUCCUUCCUCAUUAUACACAUUACUUGAAAAAUGCUUUGAAGAAUAUUUAAGUACUCAGAUUUUCUUAUGCAUUUCUAAAGGGAGAGAUAAAAUGAAAUAAGCUUUUAAGCCUUGAAAGUGCCAUAGUGUCAUAAAUAUAUCAUUCUUCAAAUUGAUCAUAAGAAGAGGAAAUAGGGUUCUUUUUAUUUUAAGAAGUUUUACUGAUUUAUAAUGGGAUCAUGAAAAAGUAGAAAAUCACUCAGUAGAACGCAAACAGAUGAAUAAAACAGCUAGAAAGUAGGAGAGGAUAUUUGUGAAGUAUUUAAGGUAAUUUGAAAAUUGUGCAUGAAAUGGUAAAAUGGUACCAAGAGCUUUAUUGCACACUCAACAUUUAGGAACCUGGGAAUAGGGGACAGUGGAAGAAUACUGGAGCAAUGGAGUGCCUUAUGGUCUCUUGACUCUUUUCCGUAAGAAGCUGUCGGCUGGAGCUCAGGCAGGUGUCUGCUGCAGUUCUGUUUCUGCUAGUAAUUCUCAUGUGCCCUAGGAAGUUCCAUUUUGCUUUUUUGAGCCUCAAUUUCCUUAUCCAUAAAAUCACUUUAAAUUUAAUAAUCUGUAUAUUUUCAUCUUUAAAAAUUUCAUAACAUUUUCAUAUUGUUAACAUAUGAACAGGCUUCAAAAAAUUCAUGAAAAAAAUGGAACUAAACAUUAAAGGGAUUUUCCAUGAACUUCUUGAAGCCCCCUUAAAUAUGUGUACUUGUUGUUCCUUUUUGGUCUUUAAGGUACCACAUAUUUCUACCCAAAUGACUGAACAGAUUGCAAAUCCAAAUGUUUUUAUUUCUCAUGUUGCUAACUGACCUCAGCAGGACAUUAAAAAGUUAAACUUUUCAUUUUCACCAUCCUUUGUCAUUUCGUGUUUACAUGCUGAGUUAAUUACCUAAACAGAAUGUUCCCAUCAGUCUUCUCUUUAAAUAUUUUAGCAAAUUAGAAUCAAAUAUAUUGUGCUUACCAAUGAACUGUUAGAUAGUUUUGGCGCCCCCCCCGCCAAAAAUGGUAAUGCCCUUUUGGUCUCAGAAGCAAUGAACUUACCUUUAAACAAUAUUCACAAAAUUUUAUUAGUUUUCUUAAUACGCAGGAGGCAUGACAGAGCCAUAUUUUAAUUAAUUUUGCUCAGGAGUGAGAAAUAAAAUUCAGGGACAAUCCAAACACUUCUGUUUGGCAUUGGUGGACAAUUAGGACAAGAAGGGUUAUAACUUUUGCACACGUAGGUAGGAAAUCACUGUACCCCUUAGAAAAAUCAGUAUAUUAUUACUGCUGGUUUUAUGAUAGAAAGAAAUUAGGUUAGAAAAGUGCUAAAUCUUGGACAUUAGAGAAACUGUUAAGAUAAUUGGAGGCCAUUUGAAUAAUACAGACAUAUUCUGCCAUUCUCAGAUUAUUUGUCCAGAGGUUUAGUCUUGUAUCCCUUCCAUUCAGAAAAGGGGGCAGUUUUUAAAGACCUCUAUCAUAAUAGGAAAUGUAUAUUUUGACUAGUGGAGCAAUUACUUAGCACAUUCAAUCUGAUAAUUUUGGCUUUGUGAAUCUGAAUUUUCAUUGUAUAUGUAAUUGAGUCUCACGUAUUCAUGUUAGUGAUCAUUGUGAGAAGUGACUUUAUCUGUUCUUUUAAAAAGUGAUGAAAUUUGCUAAAUGGUGAUUCUAGUGCAUUGUGUUAAUAUUGUAUCUUACAAUUUGUGAACUGAUAAUACUAAACAAACUGUAGCAGUAUUUCUUCUGGUAAAUUGUUUCUGUGGUGUGAUCUCUUAAUACUGGGAUUGCGGUUGGGGGGAGGUUAAAUUUACUUAAAACUGUCGAAGUGUUUUCCUUACAUGCCAUGAAACUGUAUGACUCUAAACCAAAUAAGAGUAUCUUCUUUUUGUUUAUUUCAAGAACACUGUAUAAACCGUUUUUGAAACUAUCCCAUGAAAUGGUAUGAUUUGUGUUUCAAAAGCUCCUAUAUGUAUAUACAAGGGAAAGCACUGUGUGUAGUGUUUCUGUGUAAUAUACUAAAUGUUAUAGGAAUCCAUUCUUGAAAUCUUAUAGAAAUGGUAAUUAAGCAGAUGUCACAAUAACAAACAUGUCACCUCAAUUUUUCAUAGGAAGUCUAACGUUUAUAACAUAUCUUUGCCAGUAUCAUUCAUUUUUAUGUAAUUCUGAAGCAUCCUGUGAAGUACUGAUACUAUCUGAAGUUUAGAGAUUAAACAACCAAAACUUGGAAAGAGCAGACGAUUUGUCCAAGAACAUUUGGCCAAAUAGCUAAAACUCAUGUUCACUGUGUUACUGUUUUUAUCCUAUUGUUACCAUUAUAUUUAAGGCUUUGGCAGAGUUUAAAUUCUGAAAGACAUAUAAGGAAAUUGCA